UACGUAGGGACCGAGCGUUGUCCGGAAUCAUUGGGCGUAAAGAGCGUGUAGGCGGCCACUUAAGUCCUGCGUGAAAUCCUGCGGCUCAACCGCAGGCGGUCGUGGGAAACUGGGUGGCUAGAGUGCGGGAGAGGAGAGUGGAAUUCCUGGUGUAGCGGUGGAAUGCGCAGAUAUCAGGAAGAACACCCGUGGCGAAGGCGGCUCACUGGCCCGAUACUGACGCUGAGGUGCGAAAGCGUGGGGAGCAAACAGG
rnacentral:rRNA from 1 species